GAUGAACGCUAGCGGCAGGCCUAAUACAUGCAGGUCGGACGGGAUUCAGGAGCUUGCUUCUGAUGAGAGUGGCGCACGGGUGCGUAACACGUAUGUAACCUACCUUUAUCAGGGGGAUAGCCUCUCGAAAGAGAGAUUAAGCCCGCAUAAAAUCACAGCACAGCAUUGUGUAAUGAUCAAAUAUUUAUAGGAUAAAGAUGGGCAUGCGGAACAUGAGCUAGAUGGCGGGGUAACGGCCCACCAUGGCGACGAUGUUUAGGGGAUCUGAGAGGAUGGCCCCCCACACUGGUACUGAGACACGGACCAGACUCCUACGGGAGGCAGCAGUAAGGAAUAUUGGUCAAUGGGCGGAAGCCUGAACCAGCCAUGCCGCGUGCAGGAAGACGGCCCUACGGGUUGUAAACUGCUUUUAUACGGGAAUAAACCCAGAUACGUGUAUCUGGCUGAAUGUACUGUAAGAAUAAGGAUCGGCUAACUCCGUG
rnacentral:rRNA from 1 species